rnacentral:lncRNA from 1 species
CCCCCCCGCGCGCCCAUUGGCCCAGCGACCCCCGUCCCGUGCUCCCAUUGGCCCAGAGCCUCUCGUUCCGCGCUCUCAUUGGCCCAGCGACCCUCGUCCCGCGCUCCCAUUGGCCUCGGAGCCCUCCACAAACAAAGGCCGGAGCCCGGCGGGGGGCCCGGCGCGCCGCUCUGAUUGGCGGAGCGAAAGGGCGGGGCGGCCCGGCUAGGCUCCUCCCACAGAGCGACGCCGGAUGCCCUCAUAUGGAGCUGGGCGGGGCGCGCUCAUUCAUGCGCGCUGGGAGGGGCGGGGCCAGCGCGGGGCUGCGCUUCCCGCCCGCGGCGCGCGCGGCUCGUUCCCACGGCGCGGGCGAGUGAAUGAACGGGCGCGCGCGGGGGCGCGGCACGGCACCGUGAGGGUCGGUACGGCCCGGUGAGGUCCGGUAAGGCUCCGUGCGGCCCGGUAAGCUCCGCUAUGGCACCGUGCGGCUCGGGACGGCUCGGUACAUCUCAGUGCCUGUGCUAGGCGUGGGUGCGUGCAGGUGGGGAGCGGGUCCACGCGCGGUGUGACGGUGCCGGGGCUCGCGUGGGGCGGGCGCGAUCGUGUCCUGAGUGUGCGUGGUUGCAUCCCCCGUGGUUGUACCCCCGGUGCUGUGUCCACCUGCUCGCCCCUCUGUGCCUUGCACACCCACGCGUGCUUUGUUCUGGGGGGCUUCUCAGGGUCCCCCCGCGGCCCUGGCUCUGCAUCGCUCCUGCCCAGGCCCUGGGGCAGCACCAGCAUCGCAAGUGCUUGGGGACCCACAUCCCAAAAUGCAUCCCAUGGUGGGUUCGGUCCCUUGCCUCCAUCCUCCUCACCGUGCCCAUAAAUCCAUCCCCGGUCCCGUUCACAACCUGCCCGGCCCUCGCGGGACACACGGCAGCUCCCAGCUCGUGCUGCAGAUACGGACUGAACUUUGGUCCCUGAGCAAUUAAGGUGCCUGAAACUGCACUUCAUUAAUGGUUGUUCUGCAAUAAAACCCAUCAAACUGCCCUUAUUUGCA